ACAGGGAUUGCCCCAGUAACGGCGAGUGAAGCGGCAACAGCUCAAAUUUGAAAUCUGGCUCUUUUAGAGUCCGAGUUGUAAUUUGCAGAGGGCGCUUUGGCUUUGGCAGCGGUCCAAGUUCCUUGGAACAGGACGUCACAGAGGGUGAGAAUCCCGUACGUGGUCGCUGGCUAUUGCCGUGUAAAGCCCCUUCGACGAGUCGAGUUGUUUGGGAAUGCAGCUCUAAAUGGGAGGUACAUUUCUUCUAAAGCUAAAUAUUGGCCAGAGACCGAUAGCGCACAAGUAGAGUGAUCGAAAGAUGAAAAGCACUUUGGAAAGAGAGUCAAACAGCACGUGAAAUUGUUGAAAGGGAAGCGCUUGCAGCCAGACUUGCUUGCAGUUGCUCAUCCGGGCUUUUGCCCGGUGCACUCUUCUGCAGGCAGGCCAGCAUCAGUUUGGGCGGUAAGAUAAAGGUCUCUGUCACGUACCUCUCUUCGGGGAGGCCUUAUAGGGGAGACGACAUAUUACCAGCCUGGACUGAGGUCCGCGCAUCUGCUAGGAUGCUGGCGUAAUGGCUGUAAGCGGCCCGUCUUGAAACACGGACCAAGGAGUCUAACAUCUAUGCGAGUGUUUGGGUGUCAAGCCCGAGCGCGUAAUGAAAGUGAACGGAGGUAGGAACCCGCAAGGGUGCACUAUCGACCGAUCCUGAUGUCUUCGGAAGGAUUUGAGUAAGAGCAUGGCUGUUGGGACCCGAAAGAUGGUGAACUAUGCUUGAAUAGGGUGAAGCCAGAGGAAACUCUGGUGGAGGCUCGCAGCGGUUCUGACGUGCAAAUCGAUCGUCAAAUUUGGGCAUAGGGGCGAAAGACUAAU
rnacentral:rRNA from 1 species